CACCUCCAACCUUCACUGUAGAUAUGGUGUUUUUGAGGUGAUGUGCAGAAACAUUUGUGGUGUGUAUUAUGGCAUCUAAAGAGUUCAAUUUUGAUCUCAUCUGACCAGACUAUAUUCUCCCGGUAUUUC